rnacentral:lncRNA from 1 species
GGACUUGAUGCGGAGAUCUUCCUCCACAGAGAGCCGUGGCAUGGAACUUUUCCAAAGCGUGUCCAUGACACACGUGAUGCAAGGGUGGAUUGCAACCGAGAAGGAAAGGAUCAGAUUGCAAAGGGAAAUCCAAGUGCUGAAGAAGCAGCAUGAGCAGGAAGAGCAAG